GAAAGACUGUCCAACAACGAAAGUGAAUCCUUUCAGAGUUCUGAUACUAAUUGGGAAAGACGAAGGUUUAAAAAAGUAAGUUGUGUUUAAUUCGCAAAAUUCAUUAAUUUUUCCUGCAGACUGCGCUAAAUGAAUUAAAAUAUACGUGGUUUUAGAUUGUUUUCUGGUAUUGUACCUCGGGUGUUGUGGAUCAGUAUUGGAGGUGCGAUAUUUCUUGGUAUAUAUGAUGAAUCCAGGACACUUCUCAACCGGUCCACAGAAAGAUAACAUAUGAUAAUGUAAUUAUUGUACGUGUUUUUUUGGGAGGGAGGGCGGGUG
rnacentral:lncRNA from 1 species